GACGUAGGGCGCGAGCGUUGUCCGGAUUUAUUGGGCGUAAAGAGCUCGUAGGUGGUUUGUCGCGUUGUUCGUGAAAACUCACAGCUCAACUGUGGGCGUGCGGGCGAUACGGGCAGACUAGAGUACUGCAGGGGAGACUGGAAUUCCUGGUGUAGCGGUGAAAUGCGCAGAUAUCAGGAGGAACACCCGUGGCGAAAGCGGCUCUCUGGGACGGUACUGACGCUGAGACGCGAAAGCGUGGGGAGCAAACAGG
rnacentral:rRNA from 1 species